UACGAAGGGUGCAAGCGUUAAUCGGAAUUACUGGGCGUAAAGAGCUCGUAGGCGGUCUGUCGCGUCUGCUGUGAAAACCCGAGGCUCAACCUCGGGCCUGCAGUGGGUACGGGCAGACUAGAGUGCGGUAGGGGAGAAUGGAAUUCCUGGUGUAGCGGUGGAAUGCGCAGAUAUCAGGAGGAACACCGAUGGCGAAGGCAGUUCUCUGGGCCGUAACUGACGCUGAGGAGCGAAAGCGUGGGGAGCGAACAGG
rnacentral:rRNA from 1 species